UACGUAGGCAGCGAGCGUUGUUCGGAGUUACUGGGCGUAAAGGGUGUGUAGGCGGUUCUUUUAAGUUUGGUGUGAAAUCUCCCGGCUCAACCGGGAGGGUGCGCCGAAUACUGAGGGACUAGAGUAUGGGAUGGGAAAGUGGAAUUCCUGGUGUAGCGGUGAAAUGCGUAGAUAUCGAGAGGAACACCAGUGGCGAAGGCGAGUCUCUGGACGACUCCUGACACUGAGGCACGAAAGCUAGGGGAGCAAACAGG
rnacentral:rRNA from 1 species